GAUCCUGGCUCAGAUUGAACGCUGGCGGCAGGCUUAACACAUGCAAGUCGAACGGUAACAUAAAGAAGCUUGCUUCUUUGAUGACGAGUGGCGGACGGGUGAGUAAUGCUUGGGAACCUAGCUUAUGGAGGGGGGAUAACUACGGGAAACUGUAGCUAAUACCGCGUAAUAUCGAAAGAUUAAAGUGUGGGACCUUCGGGCCACAUGCCAUAGGAUGAGCCCAAGUGGGAUUAGGUAGUUGGUGAGGUAAGGG
rnacentral:rRNA from 1 species